rnacentral:lncRNA from 1 species
AGGGGAUAUAACUUCUACCAUGCUAAAGAAUAAGAGUGGUUCAGCAUUUCUUUCAGAAAAAGAAAUACCUUGGUAAAGAUACUGAUGCAUUUAAUGUGGAAUUUAUGAAGUUCGAUAGGUAGAAGAACUGACACAAUCUAAUGAAUUCAUAGAAUCAGAUUGGAUCAGAUCAAACUCAGAACCCAUUGUAGAGGCACCAUUAAGGAGAUUCGAUAGAGUACCGCAUCCAUCGGAU